GAUGAACGCUGGCGGCGUGCCUAAUACAUGCAAGUCGAGCGAACAGACGAGGAGCUUGCUCCUUUGACGUUGGCGGCGGACGGGUGAGUAACACGUAGGUAACCUACCUAUAAGACUGGGAUAACUUCGGGAAACCGGAGCUAAUACCGGAUAAUAUUUCGAACCGCAUGGUUCGAUAGUGAAAGAUGGCUUUGCUGUCACUUAUAGAUGGACCUGCGCCGUAUUAGCUAGUUGGUAAGGUAACGGCUUACCAAGGCAACGAUACGUAGCCGACCUGAGAGGGUGAUCGGCCACACUGGAACUGAGACACGGUCCAGACUCCUACGGGAGGCAGCAGUAGGGAAUCUUCCGCAAUGGGCGAAAGCCUGACGGAGCAACGCCGCGUGAGUGAUGAAGGUCUGCGGAUCGUAAAACUCUGUUAUUAGGGAAGAACAAACGUGUAAGUAACUGUGCACGUCUUGACGGUACCUAAGCAGAAAGCCACGGCUAACUACGU
rnacentral:rRNA from 1 species